rnacentral:rRNA from 1 species
AGAGUUUGAUCCUGGCUCAGGAUGAACGCUGGCGGCGUGCCUAACACAUGCAAGUCGAACGGAGUUCUUAAGGAAUGCGGCUUCGGCCAAAUGACUUUUGAACUUAGUGGCGGACGGGUGAGUAACGCGUGAGCAACCUGCCUUUCAGAGGGGGAUAACAUUUGGAAACAGAUGCUAAUACCGCAUAAGAUUACAGUACCGCAUGAUACAGUGAUCAAAGGAGCAAUCCGCUGAAAGAUGGGCUCGCGUCCGAUUAGAUAGUUGGUGAGGUAACGGCUCACCAAGUCGACGAUCGGUAGCCGGACUGAGAGGUUGAACGGCCACAUUGGGACUGAGACACGGCCCAGACUCCUACGGGAGGCAGCAGUGGGGAAUAUUGCACAAUGGGCGAAAGCCUGAUGCAGCAACGCCGCGUGAGGGAAGACGGUUUUCGGAUUGUAAACCUCUGUUUUCGGUGACGAACAAAUGACGGUAACCGAGUAGGAAGCCACGGCUAACUACGUGCCAGCAGCCGCGGUAAUACGUAGGUGGCAAGCGUUAUCCGGAAUUACUGGGUGUAAAGGGAGCGCAGGCGGGAUAGCAAGUCAGCUGUGAAAACUAUGGGCUCAACCCAUAAACUGCAGUUGAAACUGUUAUUCUUGAGUGGAGUAGAGGCAAGCGGAAUUCCGAGUGUAGCGGUGAAAUGCGUAGAUAUUCGGAGGAACACCAGUGGCGAAGGCGGCUUGCUGGGCUUUAACUGACGCUGAGGCUCGAAAGUGUGGGGAGCAAACAGGAUUAGAUACCCUGGUAGUCCACACUGUAAACGAUGAUUGCUAGGUGUGGGGGGUCUGACCCCCUCCGUGCCGGAGUUAACACAAUAAGUAAUCCACCUGGGGAGUACGGCCGCAAGGU